UUUAUUCAAAGGCAAAAUAGUCGAAAGGCUGUGACGCAAAAAUCUGAGUCUAAGGAUGUUAAUAUUAUCUAUGAUUGUCAGAUCUGCCUCG
rnacentral:ncRNA from 1 species